GUUCGCGCGCGCGGUUUCUCGUUCUGAGCGGAUCGUCGACGGGUCGCACGCGCGUACAAUUUCGUUAAACGGACCACUCGCGGUAUACGGGCGGAGGCGGGACUCGGUGUACGCGUCACACCGGUGCGGCAAAAAGAAAAAACGCAAAUACGCGCCCCGGACACUGAACUGUCGCACGGCUGGCAGCGGUAACCGCGGGUGUAUUAACCGAUGUUAGCACUCGGGGAACGAGAGAAAACGAUCCGCCGUCGCCUCCGCGUUACCGGGUUACGCGGAUAUCGCCGCGCGUCCGCCGAAACGAUCGAAUUACCGUCGUGAGCCGCGCGAGACACGUUGACUCGUCGCGACGCGAUUGAAUUAUUGUUACCUUAUUAUUGUUAUUUUAUUAUGGCGAAGACGUCUAUUUCGCGGUGCAGCUUUCGGAUUCGGCGAUUUUCACCGCGGAAUCGAAACUCGACAAUUGUAAUAUUCACUUGGCGACGUGUCCGUUAUCGGUCCGUGGCCGCGACGGUGUAUUGAAAUGUAAUCGCGGGUUACGAUCUACGGGCGACCGAUUGACAAACCGUGACGGUUGCGCGGUUGACGCGACGUGAUCGGUGAGAGAGAAUGAGAGAGAUAGAGAGAGAGAGAGAAAAUGAGAACCUUUCUU